ACUCUCCCGCCCGCGCCUCCAGAAUUCAGGCGGGGCGCUGGAAGUUGUGUGAGCAGGCCGAUGAGUGCUUGCUUACGUCGAGGGGAGCGCCAGCUCCUGUUUCUCGUGUACGGGGGAAGCCCGGGGAACAGCAGGGGCGUCUUGGCCCGGGCAGGGAAGCGGAAGUCAGCGCCGAAGCCGCGGCAGGAGGUCCUGCCGCCCCCGAGGCCGGUUCAGAUGUGCUCCUGCCCAAAACGCGAAAGUGAGGCUGGAGUGUGGCCUUGAGCGGCUUUCUGUAGAAGGCAGUGGCCAAGAGCGCACCUCGCUUCUGGUAACAAGCUCAUACUUUAGUUUCUGCGAGUACUUGAUUGGAUGUCUCCCCUUAUUCUUUAACUCCCUUGGGCUUUUGGACAUCUCACAGAAGCCAGUGCCAGGAGCCCAGCUCUGGAGAAAGACUUGACUGAAUCUCAGCUCCACUACUGACUAACUCAAUGAAGUGAAGUUGAUCAGUCAUGUCCGAUUCUUUGCGACUCCAUGGACUGUAGCCUACCAGGCUCCACCGUCGAUGGGAUUCUCCAGGCAAGAAUACUGGAGUGGGUUGCCAUUUCCUUCUCCAGGAGAGCUUCCCGACCCAGGGAUUGAACCCUGAUCUCCCGGGUUGUAGGCAGACACUUUACCGUCUGAGCCACAAGACAAAUAACUCAAUGCUUUGAGGCAAAUUGCUUAAUCUCGCUACACUGCAGUUUCCAACACUAUGACAUGAAGGUAAUAAUAGUAAUACCCACCUAACAAGACUGACUGGAGGAUUCAGUGAAAUGAUUCAUGUAGAGUUCAUCUAGCCUUAUCUGUCAGAACCAUGAGCCCCCUUUCUCCUAAGCUACCCUGGAUAACCCCUCUUUUACAUCCUGUUACCUUGCCACCUUUACCAUUAAGAAGGAGGUGACAUGACAUGUUUUCUUUGUGUACAUAAAGGUGGAUUGUUUCCUUAAUAUGCUAAGUUCUUGAAACAUACAUGUCUGUGUAUAUUCUGACAUCAGUUCGAUAUAUUUCACAUAGCUUGUGUUCAAUAAAUGUUUGUAGAUUGAUUGAAAUCUCUCUGAUAUCUAGAAAGAUUUUUCUAGAAAAAUUUGAAGUUAUAGAAAGGGAAAACUCUUCAUGGG
ensembl:lncRNA